rnacentral:tRNA from 15 species
UCCAGGUGUGGUGCAAUGGUAGACACGAUUGUUUUCCAAACAAUUAGAUGCAAAUCUGUGAGGGUUCGAGUCCCUUCACCAAAGU